rnacentral:pre_miRNA from 14 species
AACUUAUUUGCAAGUGUUUCCACCUGUGAUACUCAAACUGUGUGACACUUUGUUUCUUUUGGAAGAAGUGCCGCAAAGUUUGCAGUGUUACCGAUGGAGAAAACUGCAGUUAGGGGGC